CCCUUAGACGUUCUGGGCCGCACGCGCGCUACACUGACCAGUGCAACAAGCAUCCGUCCUUGGCCGACAGGCUCGGGCAAUCUUUGAACGCUGGUCGUGAUGGGGAUAGACUUUUGCAAUUUUUGGUCUUCAACGAGGAAUUCCUAGUAAACGCAAGUCAUCAACUUGCAUUGAUUACGUCCCUGCCCUUUGUACACACCGCCCGUCGCACCUACCGAUUGAAUGGUCCGGUGAAGCCUCCGGAUUGGCGCGCACCUCGGUGCCGCCGAGAAGUUGGCUAAACCUUACCAUUUAGAGGAAGGUGAANUCGUANCA
rnacentral:rRNA from 1 species